rnacentral:lncRNA from 1 species
CUUCCAGCAGCCUCCAGCACCGUCGCCGACGCCAUUUGCGCAAGCCUCAUCGCCUUUGCGGUCAUUUCCGUCGCCAAAACCGUCUUCGCUGUUAUCGCCGCCGACGGCAUCACCACCGUCAAAGCCACGUCCACCCCCAUCACCACCACCACACCGCCCCUGCCCCUCAGGCCACCACCAUCGCUAAACACCGCCAACCCCAGCACCUUCACCUCUUCGUCACCACCCGUCAGUCCAGCACCUUCAUCCUUCUUGUCACCCGCAAUCGAUCCUUACCAGUGGUAUUCGACACCGUCAACCCUAGCUUGGGAUGUCAAUGGGGCAGGGCCGGGGGGGGGGAUGUCUCCUUGCUCCUCAUCCCCGCCCCAUUCCCCACGGGGUCCCAUUCCCCAUCUACAUAAUAGUUCUAACUAAUUAUUAAUUUCCAUAUGAAUAGAGCUACAAGUAUUUAUCUUAUACAAAAACUGCAAUAUUUUAUGCAAAAAGUCUAAAUGACACGAUGCUGACUUCUUUCGAAAUAACGCAAUGGGAGGACGCAACGACGAGUCAAAGGAAAAAGCAGUGGACGAGGUGGGAGACGCGGCAAGAGAGAGUAGAAUGGAUACGACGGCAGAGUUACGAAAAGGAACACCGCAGAUAGAAAUUACGAUGCGGUAAGGAUGAUGGCAUGGUGAGGUGUGACGAUGCGGUGAGAAGGGGUGACGAGGGGAUGGCCGCAGAGAGGUUUGGAUGGAGUAUGGAUAGCCUUAGGGAUCUCUGAAUUGAAGAGGGGUUAUGCAAAUAAAGAUUAGGAGUUUUGGAUUUCUAUAUAUGUGUGUGAGAAACGACUAAAAAACAUAUAUAAGAAAUAGACUAUUAAAGAAUAAUUAAAAAAAUUCAUAAAUUUCGGAAAAUAGCGGGGAUGGGGUGGGGAUCCCUGCUCGGGUUCCGCGCUUGCUUAGGGGAAAUUUUGUCUCCCAUCCCAUCCCCACGGGGAAAAAUUUUCCACAAUCGGAUCCCCAUUAAGGGCAGUCCCCGCAGGGAUACCCGCGUCUCGGAGAAUUUUGUCAUCCCUAACCCAAGCACCCUUAUUCCCCUUGUCGCCAGCAAUCAGUGCUUCCCAGCGGGAUCUUUCACCGCCAACCCCAGCACCUUCAGCACCCUCGUCGCCACCAGUCAGUCUAGCACCUUUACCCCCUCGUCGCCACCAGUCCUUACCUACAGGAUCUGACACUGCCCACCUCAGCACCCUGGUCGCCACCAGUCAGUCCAGCACCCUCACCUCCCUCGGCAACUGCAGUCGAUCCUUAUCCGCGGGAUUCGACACCGCCAACCCCAUCACCCUCCUCCUCUCGUCGCUUAUUCUUUACCAAUGGUAUUCGACACUGCCAACUCCAGCACCUUCAACCAUCUCAUCAUUCCUUAAUAGCCAGUGAUAAAGAUCUUGAAACUGCUGCUUAGAUGGAAGCUAAUGGUGAAAAUUCACCAUCAUGAUGGCAACAUCUAAUUUCGGUUGUCCUUCCUUUUCUGUAAGUUUGUUCAUUUUGGGCUAUGAUUUUAAAAAUUUUUUACUUUUAAGUACUUUUGUUAUUUGGUAUUGUUAUUAUUUUAUAUUUUAAGUUAAUUAGUUUGGUCAUGUAUUGUUUAAAAAUUUUAAAAAUAAGAAUCGAAAAAUAUUUAUUGAUUAUUAAUCGUUAUGUUAAAUUUUUUUAUANNNNNNNNNNNAGAAAUAAUUCUUUAACAUGUUAUUGUUUUCAUAUUUUUAAAGACUAAUUUAUUUUUUUUAUAUAAUUUCAAGGACUUGUUACUAAUUUAUUUUUUAUUUUAGCUUUAGUGUUGUUUUUUAUUUUUUGGUUAGAGUUAUAAUUUACUUGAAAGAGAAGUUUAAGUCUACAAAGAAAUCUGUAGAUACUUUUUAUUUUACUUCACUUACAUUAAGUAGAGUAGGAUAUAGGAAUAUUAUUCCUCGUUCUACAUGGAUUAAAAUAGGAACUAGUCUUGUAUCUGUUACCUUUUGCAUCUAAUAUUAUUUAAAGCUUCAUACAAUACUUUCUUAAAAACUUAGAACUAUGCAUCAUUACAAUAUUUGCACCAUGCAUAUCAAAUGGGUGGAUAGUUGAGAAUAAGUUAAUCCAAAAAGUAAAAGUUUGUUCAAUCGUUAUUGUCUUCUUAGUCAUUGGUAGUGGAAUCAUUAUGGCCUAUUUCUUAGAGAAUACAAGUGUUCUUGGUAGUUUUUAUUUGGCUGUAAUUUUCAUGAUAACCGUAGGUUACGGUAGUUACUCAUUUAAUACGGUUGUAGAAGGUGUAUUUCAGCAAUUUAGAUUGCAUUCAGUGUUGUUACAUAUAGUUAUGUAACUUCACACUUAACUAGUCUUGUUCUUUUUCAUUGAAUCGUAUUUUGUAAAUUAUUUUUAUUAUUGACUAUAUUGCAAAAAAUAUAAUUUGAAAAGAGUGAUGAGUAUAUUUUAUAUAUUUAUAAAAUUUUAUUUUGUUAAAAAAUUACUUUUUGUAGAUUUUAGGGCAAAUAAUUUUUUACCAAAGUAAAAUAUUAUAAAUUUUUAAAAUAUCCACUCUUUUCAAAUUAUAUUUUUUGCACUAUAGUCAAUAAUAAAAAUAAUUUACAAGAUACAAGUCAAACAAGACGGAUAAGUCUUGUUAGAUUUGAAGUUAUAUAACUAUAUGUAUCAACCAUUAAAUGCAAUCUAAAUAGUUGAAAUACACCUUCCUACAACCGUACUAAAUGAGUAAUCACCGUAACCUACGGUUGUUAUGGAAAUUAUAGCCAAAUAAAAACUAUCAAAAACACUUAUAUCCUCUAGAAAAUAGGUCAUAAUUGUUUCGCUAUCAAUAACUAAGAAGGCAAUAACAACGGUUGAACAAAUUUUUACUUUUUGGACUAACUUAUUCUCAACUAUCUACCUAUUUGGUAUGCAUGCUGUAAAUGUUGUAAUGAUGCAUGAUUCUAACUUUAGAAGAAGGUAUUGUAUGAAGUUUUGAAGAAUAUUAUAUGCAAAAAGUAACAAAGAGAUACAAAAAAUAGUUCCUAUUUUAAUCCAUGUAGAACGAAGACUAAUAUUCUUAUAUCCUACUGUACUUAAUGUAACUGAGGUAAAAUAAAAAGCAUCUACAAAUUUUUUUGUAAAUUUAACCUUAAACUUCUCUUUCAAGUAAAUUAUAAUCCCAACCAAAAAAUAAAAAAAAAAGACACAAUAAAGUUAAUAUAGAAAAUAAAAUAGUAGGAUGUCCCUGAAAUUGAAUAAAUAAUUAGUAAAUAUGUAAACAAUAAUAAAAGAGUUAUAUUUAAAAAAUAUUUUAAUUACAUGUUUAUUAAUUUUUUUAUUUCAAAUAAUUUUUUUAAUAAAAUAAUUACAAAAUUAGAAUUGAUUUCUUUAAUUAUUCUAAAUAUCUUUUUAAUAUUUUUUUUAAUUUUGAAUAAAAAAUUAUAAUUAAAAAUAUCUUUUAAUAUAAAAAAAUUUAAUAUAAUGAUUCAUACUCAAUAAAUAAUUUUGAAUUUUUAUUUUUAAGAUUUUUAAAUAAUGUAUGACCAAACUAAUUAACUUAAAAUAUAAAAUAGUAAUAAUAUUAAAUAAAAAUAUUACUUAAAAGAAAAAAAUUUUCAAAAUCAUAGCCAAAAUACAAUGUAUGAUAACAGAAAAUGAACACACACCUGCAGAAAAGGUAGGACAACCGACAUAAGAUGUAUGAUGGUGGAUUUUUACCAUUAGCUUCCGUCUAUUCAGUUGUUUCAGGAUCUUUAUUACUGGCUGUUAAGGAAUGAUCGGUGGUGAUGAGGGGGUUGAGGGUGCUGGAGUUGGCGGUGUCGGAUACAAUUAGUAAGGACCGAUUGGGGGCGACGAGAGGGGGAGGGUGCCGGGGGUUGGGGGUGUCGGAUCGCGCUGGUAAGGAUCGACUGCGGACAACGAGGGUGGUGGACUGACUGGUGGCGAUGAGGGUGCUGGGGUUGGCAGUGUCGGAUCCCGCUGGUGGCGGUGAAGGUGCUGGCGUUGGCGAUGUCUGAUACCACUGGUAAGGAUGCUAGAUUGAUUGGCGGCGACGAGGGUGCUGGGGUUGGCGGUGACGGAUCCUGCUGGUAAGGACUGCCUGGUGGCGACGAGGGGAAUGAGGGUGCUGGGGUUAGCUGUGUCGGAUACCACUGGUAAGGAUCGAUUGCGGGCGACGAGGGGGUGAGGGUGCUGGAAUGACGGGUGGCGACAAGGUGGGUGAGGGUGCUGGGGUUGGUGGUGUUGGACCACCAUCGCUAAACACCGCCAACCCCAGCACCUUCACCCCCUCGUCGCCACCCGUCAGUCCAGAACCUUCAUCCCUCUUGUCACCCGCAAUCGAUCCUUACCAGUGGUAUUCGACGCCGUCAACCACAGCUUGGGAUGUCAAUGGGGCAGGACGGGGGCGGGGGAUGUCUCCCUGCUCCUCAUCCCCGCCCCAUUCCCCAUCUACAUAAUAGUUAUAACUAAUUAUUAAUUUCCAUAUGAAUAGAGCUACAAGUAUUUAUCUUAUGCAAAAAGUCUAAAUGACACGAUGGUGACUUCUUUUGAAAUAACGCAAUGGGGGGACGCAACGACGAGUCAAAGGAAAAAGCAGUGGACGAGGUGGGAGACGCGGCAACAGAGAGGAGAAUGGAUACGACGGCAGAGAUACGAAACGGAACACCGCAAAUAAAAAUUACGAUGCGGUAAGGAUGAUGGCACGGUGAGGUGUGACGAUGCGGUGCGAAGGGGUGACGAGGGGAUGGCCGCAGAGAGGUUUGGAUGGAGUAUGGACAGCCUUAGGGAUCUCUGAAUUGUAGAGGGGUUAUGCAAAUAAAGAUUAGGAGUUUUGGGUUUCUAUAUGUGUGUGUGAGAAACGACUAAGAAAGAUAUAUGAGAAAUAGACUAUUAAAGAAUAAUUCAAAAAAUUCAUAAAUUUCGGGAAAUAGCGAGGAUGGGGUGGGGAUCCCUGCUCGGGUCCCGCGCUUGCUUCGGGAAAAUUUUGUCUCCCAUCCCAUCCCUGCGUGAAAAAAUUUCCCACAAUCGGAUCCCCAUUCAGGGCAGUCCCCGCAGCGAUACCCGCGUCUCGGGGAAUUUUCUCAUCCCUAACCCAAGCACCCUCAUUCCCCUUGUCGCCAACAGUCAGUGCUUACUAGCGGGAUCCUUCACCGCCAACCCCAACACCUUCAGCACCCUCGUCGCCACCAAUCAGUCUAGCACCUUUACCCCCUCGUCGCCACCAGUCCUUACCUACAGGAUCUGACACUGCCCACCUCAGCACCCUGGUCGCCACCAGUCAGUCCAGCACCCUCCUCCUCUCGUCGCCUGUUCUUUACAAAUGGUAUUCGACAACGCCAACCCCAGCACCCUCAACCCUCUCAUCAUUCCUUAACAGCCAGUGAUAAAGAUCUUGAAACUGCUGCUUAGAUGGAAACUAAUGGUGGAAAUCCAAAAUCUAAUUUCGGUUGUCCCUCCUUUUCUGCAAGUGUGUUCAUUUUGGGCUAUGAUUUUAAAAAAUUUUUACUUUUAAGUACUUUUUUUAUUUGGUAUUGUUGCUAUUUUAUAUUUUAAGUUAAUU